UCAGCCAGAAGCUGGACUCACGGCUGGCGAGGACAGCAGCAGUGGCGGGAGCCUCUCCCGACUCUGUGGCAGCAUUAAGGACCCCUUGGGUGUCCUGGACUGUGAGAGGGCACAGGCCGGACUGAGGGACCCCCC